AAUGGGUUCUAUAGUAGAAAAAUAGAUUUAGCUUAAUGUGGGCUAACAUUCCAAAUAACAGCUAUUGCUAUUGUGGCGUGUCACAAUAGCAAAAUAAGUGAGUAUUUGUUAUUAAAAAAGGAUAGCUAUCUGAAAGGACUGUUCUGAUCCAUACCUAUUUGAGAGUUCUCCGGUUAAGGUGUAUAUUCCUUAUUUCCAGACUUUUGAGUUGAUUUUGGAAUUUGUUUUCUAGAACAGAAACAAUUCCUACAUUCUUUUUACCACUAUAAUAAGAAUAAGUGUAUUAUAUUUAAUAAAGGACAUAAAUUAUGUUAUUAUUAGUCUACUUGAACUGUAAUACUACCCAUUUGGUUUUCCCAGAUAUUUCUCUUUUAUCUGCUAUUUUGAAAUGUAAUCAGACUAAAGACCAGAGAUUGAUUUUUGCUGGUUGUAUUACAUGUGCGCCAACUGGGCAACUCCUUCCUAAGUUUAUUUACGUGGCUCAGCUUUCUCCUCCCUAAAGAACUAGAGGAACAAAA
rnacentral:lncRNA from 1 species